rnacentral:rRNA from 1 species
CGCAAGCCUGAUGCAGCGACGCCGCGUGAGGGAUGACGGCCUUCGGGUUGUAAACCUCUGUUAGCAUCGAAGAAGCGAAAGUGACGGUAGGUGCAGAGAAAGCGCCGGCUAACUACGUGCCAGCAGCCGCGGUAAUACGUAGGGCGCGAGCGUUGUCCGGAAUUAUUGGGCGUAAAGAGCUUGUAGGCGGUUGGUCGCGUCUGCUGUGAAAGGCUGGGGCUUAACCCUGGUUUUGCAGUGGGUACGGGCUAACUAGAGUGCAGUAGGGGAGACUGGAAUUCCUGGUGUAGCGGUGGAAUGCGCAGAUAUCAGGAGGAACACCGAUGGCGAAGGCAGGUCUCUGGGCUGUAACUGACGCUGAGAAGCGAAAGCAUGGGGAGCGAACAGGAUUAGAUACCCUGGUAGUCCAUGCCGUAAACGUUGGGCACUAGGUGUGGGGGACAUCCCACGUUUUCCGCGCCGUAGCUAACGCAUUAAGUGCCCCGCCUGGGGAGUACGGCCGCAAGGCUAAAACUCAAAGAAAUUGACGGGGGCCCGCACAAGCGGCGGAGCAUGC